ensembl:lncRNA
GCAGAGAGUUCGGUCGGAGCUGCAGGUGGGAAGAGUCAGCAGAGUUUUACUCACCGUGUGGAUUUUCAUUCCUCUAAUGCUGUUAGAGGUGUGCGUCCAUGAGACUGCUACAGAUUUUGCUGGCAUGCCACACCAAACUAGUUGAGCCAUCACUCACUUCCAAACAGACUUUGAAUGAAGACCUUGUGACUUCAUCAGAAGUCAAUUUAUGUCAGACCUGACAAGGUGAUUUUAUGUGAGGACAAUGAAUUAGAGAUGGCACGAUACCACUUUUUUAUGUCCGAUACCGAUACCGAUAUCAUAAAUUUGGAUAUCUGCCGAUACCGAUAUGAAUCCGAUAUAGUGUUUUUUAAUCAACAAAACUGUUUUUUAAAAUAUCUUGCUGCAUUUUGCAAGUCUGCAAGUUCAUACUCAAGUUUAAAACAACAACUACACUAAAGCUAUUCUGUUAUACCUGUAUACAAAAAAAAUAUUUCAUAGUUCAGCAAUACUGAUCAAUCUAAUAAACUUAGACCUACACCAUCCUCCCUAUUCUGGUAUUUUAAAGAGUACUUAGCGUAAAUAUUAAGCAACCUAACUAAUAGGGUUCCAACUCCCAGCAACAACAAAAAUAAAUAAAUAAAAAAUAGGGAACCACCCCUCACGCGCCACCUCAUGAUGCUUAAUCGACGUAAUCAACCUUAAUUUGAUGCAGUGUGAAAAAAAAUGCACAGAAAUCAAUUCUUUUUCAAGAAAUAUUAAAUAGAUUCAACAUCUUUCUUCAACAAAAUUGCAGACUGCACAGAUGGUACCUUCCCAAAGGAAAAAGUACUAUAGCUUACUAGGGUAUAUAUAUUAGACUUAAUAGUCACUAUGUACAGUAAUUGACUUCUAUUCAUUUUACAUCAAAUUAAAACUUUGGGUGUCAGAUAAUUAUUUAUUAAAAGCUAGACAUUUUAAAUGAGAAUAAGAAAGAAAAGUAUGUCUUUGUGCCCCCUUUUCCCAGUUAAUGCCCUAUCGGCCCCCCUGGCUAAACUUUGCUAGAUCCGCCCCUGCACAGUUACCAGCCAUCAGCUACGUAGAAAAAGAUCCUCGAGUAGAAAGUAAUAUUAAAUAAAUUCUAACAACAGCUUAUCAAGCUUAAACGUGCUGCUGUUGUUCAGCCGCUGGUUUCCUCUUUCUGGUGCAAAGUGGGCCAAAAACAAACCAGAGAGACGGACUCGCGACAGAAAAGCCGAUCAGCUGAUCAUUUAAGCAGUUUCACGAUUGAAGUAGCAGCCGGAGAGCGAGAGGCAGUCGCUUGUUAAGCUUAACGUGGGAAUGCUUUACAAACAUUCAGAGAUGGACUUACACACUUGCUUUACUUCUCUCGGGGAUAACUUUGUCGGAGAUGAAAUGCCAGGUUGCUAGCGAAGCUCCACAUGCUAUCCAGACCACCGACAGGUCCCGCAUGCCACAGCUGCUCUAUCACGUGAUGCAUACGUUCUGAGGUGAGUUAAGGCGUGUUGCAAGUUUUGUGAGGUGCUUUCGUGAUAUUUAAUGGAUCGGAUUACAUUUUUUAUUUUUCUCCGAUAUCCGAUCCAGUAAUUUAGGUCAGUAUCGGACCGAUACCGAUACGUAAUAUCGGAUCGGUCCAUCUCUACAAUGAAUCAGUAAGUAAUCCUGAGCAUUUCAGCAAAUGUAUGCAUGUUCAUAAAAUGAGAGUGAAAAAGGCAAAGAUGGAUUUUAAACUCCCUUAAACAUUGUCACUUGUAUUAUGUUUUAAUACAUAAUACAUAAACAUAUUACUAAUAUUUACUAUGCCAUUUUCUUGUCAGUAUAAUGAAAUGUAUUAUCUGUUUUAAUUUACAGGCUUAUUCUGAUGGAGAGAGUAGCCAUACAAGCAGGCAGGAUUUCACAGAAACGUUGAAUUCUGACAAAUGUGGUGAAAUUUCUAAAGACGUUACCUCAGCCAUUCCCAUUGUUAACACACAGUCCAUGUCUGUUGAUGAUGAGGUCAUCUGUUGCGUUGCUACUGCCACUGUCAGUGACAACACACCUGGCGUAUCAGUGGGUUCUUCUGCCAGUGUUACUGGUGACACACGUGUCUUCUCUAGUAACACCUCCAGUGUGUCCAAUGGACCUACCCAGCCAAGUUUAUCCAGCACAUCCUACAGUACAUAUCUUGGCCUGUUUGAGGAAGAAUACCUGUCAAAUGACCCCGACCUCCAAGAAGCCAUUUCAAGGUCUUUAGACGUGCAAGUAAAAGAAAAGGAGUCACCUACUAUCUAGUUUUGGAUCAGUUUGAAUAAGCAAACUACAAACUGCAACCUACGAUUUCUGUUGUCGUUUGAAGAUUACCAAGGCUAUCAGAUUAAUUAUAUUUUACUUGAUAUAUGUUUUGGUUUAUUUUUAGUGGCUUUAGUGAAAUGUUAGAUACAAAGGUUUGAAUCUGUAAAAAGAAUAAAGAAAAGAAUAUCUGGUCAUUAAACUUCUGUGCUAAUACUCUUAUUUUAUAACUCUGACCACCUGCAGCCUCUAUGAUAGUCAUUACUAUGCUGUCAUAGUUUUGAUUUCGGGCUGCUGUAGCAUUGUCCUCUCUUAUUUGCAACCCUGUCCUUAUUUUAACUCCAUCUGGUUUUUGGCUUUGACUGAUUGGAGAUAAUGAAUUGUAUUAUUUUUGCACCACACGUUGGCUAGCUUGACAUCAUAAGUGAUGUGAUAACACAACUGCAAGCAGUGUCAUCAUGCUGGUAGAAACUUGCCUUUUUUUAAAAUUAUGUAGCAGUUAUUUAUAUACUUAGCAAACACAUGUCCACACAACAAAGGUAUUUUCCCUAUUUACAUUUCCAUGCUGUGAAUAAAUAGUAUAGAGUAUUUUGUUGUUUAUGUAUAUUUGUUGUUUAUGUAUAAUUAAGCAUUUUCUGCUCUGGGAGGUUAAAAAAUUGAAGCUUGAUGAGCUGUUCACAAAAAAUGGAAUGACCAGUGUUGUGGCUAUUGUGCUUUUUUCAUAAAAUAUAAUAAAAAAAAAACCCUGCUGCUGUGGAGUUGGGGCGGUCUGCUUCUUUCCACCCCAGGGAAGAGGGUAACACUACCUGGGUCUGGGUGCAGUUUUCCCCUCCAGGGGCAAGGGUACCUACACCUGGAGUAUAGAGUACGCUUGGG